CCCCUCGUGGCUUAAUGGCUAAAGCGUCUGGCUGUAGCCCGGAAGAUUCCCAGUUCGAUUCUGGGCGGGGGGA
rnacentral:tRNA from 1 species